rnacentral:rRNA from 1 species
AGCUAAAAAGGGGUAGCGAUAAGUCGGGUACUGGAGGGUACCGGCCACAUGACUGGAAACGGUCAGAUUCUACGGAGGCAGCAGUGGGAUUUGACAUGGGGCAUCUGAUCAGCAUGCGCGUGCGGACGAGCUCGGGUGUAAAUCGCUUUCGGACGGAAAGAAAUCGCGCAGGCUAAUAUCCUGUGUGGAUGACGGUACCGUAAGAAGAAGCACGGCUAACUACGUGCCAGCAGCCGCGGUAAUACGUAGGGUGCGAGCGUUAAUCGGAAUUACUGGGCGUAAAGCGUGCGCAGGCGGAUAUUUAAGUCAGACGUGAAAUCCCCGGGCUUAACCUGGGAAUUGCGUUUGAAACUGGAUAUCUAGAGUGCGUCAGAGGGGGGUGGAAUUCCACGUGUAGCAGUGAAAUGCGUAGAGAUGUGGAGGAACACCGAUGGCGAAGGCAGCCCCCUGGGAUGACACUGACGCUCAUGCACGAAAGCGUGGGGAGCAAACAGGAUUAGAUACCCUGGUAGUCCACGCCCUAAACGAUGUCAACUAGCUGUUGGGUGCGAGAGUACUCAGUAGCGAAGCUAACGCGUGAAGUUGACCGCCUGGGGAGUACGGCCGCAAGGCUAAAACUCAAAGGAAUUGACGGGGGCUCGCACAAGCAGUGGAGCAUGUGGUUUAAUUCGACGAUAAGCGAAAAACCUCACCAGGGUUUGAAAUCUCGGGAAUCCUCUAGAAAUAGAGGAGUGCCUUCGGGAACCCGAUGACAGGUGCUGCAUGGUUGUCGUCAGCUCGUGCCGUGAGGUGUACCCUUAAGUGGGCUAACGAGCGAAACCCCUAUCCUGUGUUACAAGUGUCACGGGAGACUGCCUCGGUUAACGGGGAGGAAGGUGGGGAUGACGUCAAAUCAGCACGGCCCUUAUGAUCUGGGCUACACACGUACUACAAUGGUGGGUACAAUGGGCUGCGAGACCGCAAGGUGGAGCCAAUCCCAAAAAACCCAUCCCAGUCCGGAUCGGGGUCUGCAACUCGACCCCGUGAAGUCGGAAUCGCUAGUAAUCGGAGAUCAGCAUGCUCCGGUGAAUACGUUCCCGGGCCUUGUACACACCGCCCGUCACACCACGAAAGUUGGUUCUACCCGAAAGCUCCGGGCUAACCGCAAGGAGGCAGGAGUCUACGGUAGGGCCGAUGAUUGGGGUGAAGUCGUAACAAGGUAGCC